rnacentral:rRNA from 1 species
CCUACGGGAGGCAGCAGUGAGGAAUAUUGGUCAAUGGCCGCAAGCCUGAACCAGCCAAGCCGCGUGAAGGACGAAGGUUCCAAGCAUUGUAAACUUCUUUUGUCAAGGGACAAAAUCAGGCUCGAGAGCCUGAUCGAGGGUACUUUAUGAAAAAGCAUCGGCUAACUCCGUGCCAGCAGCCGCGGUAAUACGGAGGAUGCGAGCGUUAUCCGGAUUUAUUGGGUUUAAAGGGUGGGUAGGGGGACUGUUAAGUCAGCCGGAAAAGGCCGGGGCUCAACCCCAGCAGUGCAGUUGAUACUGGCUGUCUUGAGUAGACGAGAGGUAUGCGGAAUGCGAAGUGUAGCGGUGAAAUGCUUAGAUAUUGCGAAGAACUCCGAUUGCGAAGGCAGCAUACUGGCGGCGAACUGACGCUGAGGCACGAAAGCGUGGGUAUCGAACAGGAUUAGAUACCCUUGUAGUC